GCCCCCUCCCCGCUGCUCCGCGCCCGCCGCCGUCCGCUCCCUCCCCGCUGGCGGGCGGGGCCGCGCUCCUCCCCGGCUCCGCCCUCGCUCCGCCUCCCGCCUCGGCCGCCCCGCCCCUCCGCCCUCCGCGGCCGAGCGGCCUAGCUGGUCCGGCGCGCGGGUCUCCCCGCGAGGCCCGACCUUUGUUCCCGACCUGCCCGGCCGCGCCGUCCCGGGUGCGUCCCGCGUGCCUGCCCCGCCUCUCUCCUCACAUUUUCCGGUCGCCGUGGCCCCUUUUCGGAGCCGGGAGUGCGGAGGCGGUUUCCUCGCGUGUCUGUGGCUGGGGGCCGCCCCUCGCGCCCCCCGGGUUCGGCGCGCACCUACUCUGCGGCUCGGCCGCCGCGCCUGAGUUCGGCGAAAGCCUUUCCAGGUAGUGGGGAUCGAACUUGGGUCCUUGUGCUUGAGCAGCAGCAGCAGCACCAGAAAAAGAAGAAGAAGAGGAGGAGGAGGAGGAGGAGCAAGAAGAAGAAGAGGAGGAGAAGAAGAAGAGGAAGAAGAAAGAAGAGGAGGAGGAAGCAGAAGAAGCAACUUUUCAAUUGUGGGCAGAAAUCCCAAGACCAAACUGGUUGUUUCUUCUAGAAAGAUGACUCUUUAAGUUAUUAUCAUUCUCCUUCCAGGGUGCUGUUCAGGGACAGGCCUGGCAAAAUAAAACUGCUACUGGAGAGAUUGUGCCUCUGUUUACUAGGGGUCAUUUUGGUUUGGUGGGGGUUUUUUGGCACUGGAGAUGGGACUUGGGACCCUGUGCUCGCGAGGCAGGCAGCGGAACCACUGAGCUAAAUCCCUGGCCCUGGUUGUUUUGUUUUUGAAACAGAGUCUGGCUGAGUUAUCCAGGCUAGCUUGGAGCUCUCUACACUCCUUUCUCAGCCUCCUGAGUAGCUGGGGUUACUGGCACAUAACACUAUACCUGGC
rnacentral:lncRNA from 1 species